AACGGCGUAGCCGAUGCACAGACGGUAGAGAUUCCGUCACCACCAAAAGAGUUAAACACAGGGACACAUUUGAAGUCUCGGAGCCGGGUGUUGGUUCCGGUAGCGAUCGAGGGAAAUUAGUACCGAAGUCCGGGAUGGAAGAUGGCGAGAAAAGCUGUGUGUAUUUCUGCGGUGCCCGUACCGCAAACCGACACAGGUAGGUAGGAAGAAGAUUCUAAGGCCAACGGGAGAAGGGUUGUUAAGGAACUCGGCAAAUUGACCCCGUAACUUCGGGAGAAGGGGUGCCCCAGAGAUGGAGCCGCAGAGAAUCGGCCCAAGCAACUGUUUACCAAAAACACAGGUUUGUGCUAAAUCGAAAGAUAACGUAUACGAGCUGACGCCUGCCCGGUGCUGGAAGGUUAAGAGGAGAUGUGCAAGCAUUGAAUCGAAGCCCCAGUGAACGGCGGCCGUAACAAUAACGGUCCUAAGGUAGCGAAAUUCCUUGUCAGGUAAGUUCUGACCCGCAUGAAAGGCGUAAUGAUUUGGGCACUGUCUCGACAGCCCGCCCGGCGAAAUCGUAGUACCGGUGAAGAUGCCGGUUACCCGCGACAAGACGGAAAGACCCCAUGGAGCUUUACUGUAGCCUAAUAUUGGGUUUCGAUGUUGCAUGCACAGGAUAGAUGGGACACUAGGAAGCAAGUGCUUUGGCAUUUGUGGAGUGGCCGUUGGGAUACCAUCCUUGCGAUAUUGGAAUUCUAACCUGCGCCUUUGAAUCAAGGCGGGGGACAUUGUUAGGUGGGCAGUUUGACUGGGGCGGUCGCCUCCUAAAGAGUAACGGAGGCGUUCAAAGGUUCGCUCAGCUUGAACGGAAAUCAAGCAAAAGAGUGCAAACGCAGAAGCGAGCCUAACUGCGAGACUGACGGGUCGAGCAGUAACGAAAGUUGGAGUUAGUGAUCCGGUGGUAUGUGAGUGGAAAUGCCAUCGCUCAACGGAUAAAAGUUACCCUGGGGAUAAUAGGCUGAUCUCCCCCAAGAGUCCACAUCGACGGGGAGGUUUGGCACCUCGAUGUCGGCUCAUCGCAUCCUGGGGCUGUAUUCGGUCCCAAGGGUUUGGCUGUUCGCCAAUUAAAGCGGUACGCGAGCUGGGUUCAGAACGUCGUGAGACAGUUCGGUCCCUAUCUGUCGUGGGCGCAGGAUAUUUGAUGGGAGCUGUUCCUAGUACGAGAGGACCGGAGCGGGCGUACCUCUGGCGCACCAGUUGUUCUGCCAAGGGCAUAGCUGGGCAACUAUGUACGGAUCGGAUAAACGCUGAAAGCAUCUAAGCGUGAAGCCGACCCAAAGAUAAGAUAUCCCAUUGUUUUAAACAAGUAAGACCCCUUGAAGACUACAAGGUUGAUAGGCUUGAUGUGUAAGUGGAGUGAUCCAUUCAGCAAGCAUGUACUAAUAGGUCGAGGGCUUGACC
rnacentral:rRNA from 1 species